rnacentral:rRNA from 1 species
CCCACGGGUGACAGCAGUGAGGAAUAUUGGUCAAUGGGAGAGAUCCUGAACCAGCCAAGCCGCGUGAGGGAAGACGGCCCUAUGGGUUGUAAACCUCUUUUGUCGGAGAACAAAACCCGGGACGUGUCCCGGACUGCGUGUAUCCGAAGAAAAAGCAUCGGCUAACUCCGUGCCAGUAGCAGCGGUAAUCCGGAGGAUGCGCGCGUUAUCCGGCUUUAUUGGGUUUAAAGGGUGCGUAGGCGGUCCGUUAAGUCAGCGGUAAAAUUGUGGUGCUCAACCCCGUCGAGCCGGUGAAACUGGCAGACUUGAGUUGGCGAGAAGUACGCGGAAUGCGCGGUGUAGCGGUGAAAUGCAUAGAGAGCGCGCAGAACUCCGAUUGCGAAGGCAGCGUACCGGCGCCAGACUGACGCUGAGGCACGAAAGCGUGGGGAUCGAACAGGAUUAGAUACCCUAGUAGUC